CACGGGGGGAGCAAGCGUUGUUCGGAAUCACUGGGCGUAAAGGGCGCGUAGGCGGUUAGACACGUGGAAUGUGAAAUGCCCCGGCUCACCCGGGGACCGGCAUCCCAAACUGUCUGGCUUGAGUAUGGGAGAGGAUGAGGGAAUUCCUGGUGUAGCGGUGAAAUGCGUAGAUAUCAGGAGGAACACCGGUGGCGAAGGCGCUCAUCUGGCCCAAUACUGACGCUGAUGCGCGAAAGCUAGGGGAGCAAACGGG
rnacentral:rRNA from 1 species